AAGUCGUAACAAGGUUUCCGUAGGUGAACCUGCGGAAGGAUCAUUAUUGAAAUAAACCUGAUGGGUUGUUGCUGGUUCUCUAGGGAGCAUGUGCACGCCUUGUCAUCUUUAUAUCUCCACCUGUGCACUUUUUGUAGACCUUUCCAGGUCUAUGUUGCUUCAUUAUACCCCAAUUGUAUGUCAUUAGAAUGUUGUGCCUAUAUAAUUUAUACAACUUUCAGCAACGGAUCUCUUGGCUCUC
rnacentral:misc_RNA from 1 species